rnacentral:rRNA from 1 species
UGUAUAAUGGGUCAGCGACUUAUAUUCUGUAGCAAGGUUAACCGAAUAGGGGAGCCGAAGGGAAACCGAGUCUUAACUGGGCGUUAAGUUGCAGGGUAUAGACCCGAAACCCGGUGAUCUAGCCAUGGGCAGGUUGAAGGUUGGGUAACACUAACUGGAGGACCGAACCGACUAAUGUUGAAAAAUUAGCGGAUGACUUGUGGCUGGGGGUGAAAGGCCAAUCAAACCGGGAGAUAGCUGGUUCUCCCCGAAAGCUAUUUAGGUAGCGCCUCGUGAAUUCAUCUCCGGGGGUAGAGCACUGUUUCGGCAAGGGGGUCAUCCCGACUUACCAACCCGAUGCAAACUGCGAAUACCGGAGAAUGUUAUCACGGGAGACACACGGCGGGUGCUAACGUCCGUCGUGAAGAGGGAAACAACCCAGACCGCCAGCUAAGGUCCCAAAGUCAUGGUUAAGUGGGAAACGAUGUGGGAAGGCCCAGACAGCCAGGAUGUUGGC